GAGUUAAAAGCUAACCGUGGUUAAGUUAUGUGGGUCCCAGUGUGUUAUAAAAAAGUGUAUAUAGAUGAAGAAUAAAAGGAAAAUAAAAAAGGAAAAAAAAGUAUUAACCAGCUAAACACGGGGGUUCCAUUUUCUGAGUAGUAAAUUGGGGGAAAUUAGAUUCUUCACAGUUGUUGAGGGCUUUGACAGAUGGGUCAUUGUACAUGGUGACGGUCUUCUCAGAUUCAAAUUCCUGAAACGUCACACCCCUCUACUCUCUCCUCACAUCGCCAAUCAGAUUCGCCACGCCCGACCUUCCACCUAGGGUUUCCACCUCAAAUUCCAGAUUUUCUCCUCCGUCAAUUUCGACCGUUGCCUCCUCUUUUCAAAUGCGCUGCUCCUGUAGAUCCGUGGCGGGAUUCGCUUCACUUUGAAUUUCCUUCUCCCAAAAAACAAAUACAG